rnacentral:rRNA from 1 species
ACACUCCUGCGGGAGGCAGCAGUGGGGAAUAUUGGACAAUGGGGGCAACCCUGAUCCAGCCAUGCCGCGUGAGUGAUGAAGGCCCUAGGGUUGUAAAGCUCUUUUGUGCGGGAAGAUAAUGACGGUACCGCAAGAAUAAGCCCCGGCUAACUUCGUGCCAGCAGCCGCGGUAAUACGAAGGGGGCUAGCGUUGCUCGGAAUCACUGGGCGUAAAGGGUGCGUAGGCGGGUCUUUAAGUCAGGGGUGAAAUCCUGGAGCUCAACUCCAGAACUGCCUUUGAUACUGAGGAUCUUGAGUCCGGAAGAGGUGAGUGGAACUGCGAGUGUAGAGGUGAAAUUCGUAGAUAUUCGCAAGAACACCAGUGGCGAAGGCGGCUCACUGGUCCGGUACUGACGCUGAGGCACGAAAGCGUGGGGAGCAAACAGGAUUAGAUACCCCAGUAGUCCCAU